GCAUCGGUGGUUUAGUGGGUGAGUGAAGUUAUCUCUCACCUCAACCGAAUAUUCACUAACAGUUACCCAGUAAAAUUAGCCGUUGCCAUCACAGUUUCGGCUAGCCCCGGGUUCGAUUCCCGGCCGAUGCA